rnacentral:pre_miRNA from 1 species
GUGAGCGAGCACGGCGGCGACGGCGGGCGGGCGGCGGCCUAAGGGCGGACCGGGAAUGGCGCGCCCUGCGCAGCCGGCGUAACUGCGGCGCU